GUCGCCGCCUCCACCACCGUACUACUACAAAUCACCUCCGCCGCCCCCAUACAAGUAUGAAUCGCCGCCGCCACCACCAUACAAGUAUGAAUCGCCGCCGCCACCACCAUACAAGUAUGAAUCGCCUCCUCCACCACCAUAUAAGUACGAAUCGCCACCGCCACCACCAUACAAGUACGAGUCGCCUCCUCCACCUCCGUACAAGUAUGAAUCGCCUCCUCCCCCACCAUACUACUACAAAUCACCACCACCACCUCCUUACAAGUAUGAAUCUCCCCCUCCACCUCCAUAUUACUACAAAUCUCCACCCCCGCCACCACCUUACUACUACAAAUCACCACCACCACCUUCUCCUGUCUACAAAUAUAAAUCUCCACCACCACCACCUUACAAGUACGAAUCUCCUCCUCCACCUCCAUACUAUUACAAGUCUCCACCACCACCGCCGUAUUACUACAAGUCUCCACCACCACCACCUCCAGUUUACAAAUACAAAUCUCCUCCUCCGCCACCAUAUUACUACAAAUCACCACCUCCUCCAUCACCAGUAUAUUACUACAAAUCUCCUCCUCCACCAGCGUAUUACUACAAAUCUCCCCCACCGCCUGUCUACUAUUACAAAUCCCCGCCACCUCCAGCUUACCACUACCAAUCGCCACCCCCACCAAGUUACAAGCUGGUAGUGGUCACGGGCAAGGUCUAUUGCAACAGAUGCUGGAACACCACAAGCAGAUACCUUCAGGCAUCACCACAUGGGUCUGCUAGGUACAUUCUCAAUUGCAUUGUAUUCGAUAUUGUUCUCCUCACUCAUUUCCUCUUGAUACUGUGUGCAAUAAUGCAGGUGGCAAAGUGAAGAUCACAUGUGGCGAAUCUUACUACUACGGCUACACCAACAAGCAUGGAAUCUUUAGAAUUGAGCUCCCGCACCAAUCCUGGGAAGAAGCAAGCAGCUGCAAGGCCAAGAUUAUCAAGAGCAGCUACAUCAAGUCGUCAUGCAAUGUCAUCACGGACUACAGGUCUGGUGCAACAGGGGCCAAGCUCAAGUUCAAAUCGAAAACAGAGAAGGAGCUCGUCUUGACAGCCGGUCCUUUCAUCUAUGCAACUCCAGAGCCAUCGUCAGUCUGCUUCUACACAUCACCUCCCUAUGAGUACAAGUCACCUCCGCCACCAACACCGGUCUACCAUUACGCCUCUCCGCCACCUCCGGUCUACUACUACAAAUCGCCACCUCCUCCUUCACCGGUUUACUACUACAAAUCCCCUCCUCCUCCUUCGCCGGUCUACUAUUACAAAUCCCCGCCUCCACCACCAUACUAUUACAAGUCCCCACCUCCACCUCCGCCUAAGUAUUACUACAAGUCGCCCCCACCACCGUCUCCAUACUAUUACAAAUCCCCGCCCCCUCCACCGUACUAUUACAAAUCCCCACCACCACCUCCCUACAAAUACGAAUCGCCGCCGCCUCCUCCUUACAAAUACGAGUCCCCACCUCCACCACCUUACUAUUACAAGUCCCCACCACCACCUCCAUACAAAUAUGAAUCCCCGCCACCUCCAGUCUACAAAUAUGAGUCUCCGCCACCCCCAGUUUACAAAUACAAGUCGCCACCACCACCAUACAAGUACGAGUCACCACCACCACCUCCAUACAAGUAUGAAUCCCCGCCACCUCCACCUUAUUACUACAAGUCCCCUCCACCACCACCAUACAAGUACGAGUCGCCACCACCUCCUCCGUACAAGUAUGAAUCUCCACCACCACCAGUUUACAAAUACAAGUCACCUCCGCCGCCACCUUAUUACUACAAAUCCCCACCGCCACCUCCAUACAAGUACGAGUCUCCACCUCCUCCUCCGUACAAGUAUGAAUCUCCACCACCACCACCUUAUUACUACAAAUCCCCCCCGCCACCUCCAUACAAGUACGAGUCACCGCCUCCUCCUCCGUACAAGUAUGAAUCUCCACCACCGCCAGUUUACAAAUACAAGUCACCCCCGCCACCACCUUAUUACUACAAAUCCCCGCCACCACCUCCAUACAAGUACGAGUCUCCACCUCCUCCUCCGUACAAGUAUGAAUCUCCACCACCACCUCCUUAUUACUACAAAUCCCCGCCGCCACCUCCCUACAAGUAUGAAUCCCCGCCACCACCUCCCUACAAAUACGAGUCACCUCCACCACCACCUUACUAUUACAAAUCUCCUCCACCGCCUCCAUACAAGUAUGAGUCGCCACCACCACCAGUCUACAAAUACGAGUCUCCGCCACCCCCAGUUUACAAAUACAAGUCGCCCCCUCCACCUUAUUACUACAAGUCUCCGCCACCCCCGCCAUACAAAUAUGAAUCCCCACCUCCACCUCCCUACAAGUAUGAAUCGCCUCCUCCUCCACCUUACUACUACAAGUCCCCUCCACCACCUCCCUACAAAUAUGAAUCCCCGCCACCACCUCCCUAUAAAUACGAGUCACCACCACCACCACCUUACUAUUACAAAUCUCCUCCACCGCCUCCAUACAAGUAUGAGUCGCCACCACCACCUCCCUACAAAUACGAGUCACCACCACCACCACCUUACAAGUAUGAAUCCCCACCUCCACCUCCGUACAAGUAUGAAUCACCUCCACCGCCUCCAUACAAGUAUGAAUCCCCUCCUCCACCUCCCUACAAAUACGAGUCACCACCCCCACCACCUUAUUACUACAAAUCGCCUCCGCCACCGGAGUAUCAAUCACCUCCUUACGUGUAUAAAUCUCCACCUCCACCCUCGUACUAGGAGCUAAGGAGCAUUUGAUUUUCAGGUGAGAAAUCUAUAGAACCACAGUUCCUAGUUUUAACAAGUUUUCAAAUUCAU
rnacentral:lncRNA from 1 species